GAUGAACGCUGGCGGCGUGCCUAAUACAUGCAAGUCGAACGCGCGGAUCAGGAGCUUGCUCCUGUGACGCGAGUGGCGGACGGGUGAGUAACACGUAGGCAACCUGCCCAUCAGACUGGGAUAACCACGGGAAACCGUGGCUAAUACCGGAUAACCCUUUUCCACACAGGGGGGAAAGUUGAAAGGCGGCUUCGGCUGCCACUGAUGGAUGGGCCUGCGGCGCAUUAGCUGGUUGGGGGGGUAACGGCCCACCAAGGCGACGAUGCGUAGCCGACCUGAGAGGGUGAUCGGCCACACUGGGACUGAGACACGGCCCAGACUCCUACGGGAGGCAGCAGUAGGGAAUCUUCCGCAAUGGACGAAAGUCUGACGGAGCAACGCCGCGUGAGUGAAGAAGGGUUUCGGCUCGUAAAACUCUGUCGUCAGGGAAGAACGCCGACGGGAGUAACUGCCCGUCGGGUGACGGUACCUGACCAGAAAGCCACGGCUAACUACGUGCCAGCCGCCGCCGUAA
rnacentral:rRNA from 1 species